ensembl:misc_RNA 7SK 7SK RNA
AUAUGUGAGGGCGAUCUGGCCAAGACAUCUGUCACCUCAUUGACUGCCAGGCUUGAUUCAGCUGAUCUGUUGGCUAGACAGGUGUCCCUUUCCUCCCUCACACUCUAUGUGUGUCCCUCCCUAAUGGGCACUAGGUCUAAGAGGAUGACCUUCCCCAAAAGAGAAGGUCAGGUCUUUAGUAAAGGGCAUAAGAGUAGUUGCACUCCACUGCUAGCACCUACAAACAAGCUCUCAAGGUCCAUGAGUACAUUUAUAUGCAAAGAUGUAAUUGUAAUAAAAGCUACAAUGAAAUUUUGCCUAGAUUAUCAGAAUCUGACAUUUAUU